GCAAGUCGAACGGUAACAUUUCUAGCUUGCUAGAAGAUGACGAGCGGCGGACGGGUGAGUAACGCGUAGGUAUCUGCCUAGUAGUGGGGGACAACAUGUGGAAACGCAUGCUAAUACCGCAUACGCCCUACGGGGGAAAGGAGGGGAUCUUCGGACCUUUCGCUAUUAGAUGAGCCUGCGUGAGAUUAGCUAGUUGGUGGGGUAAAGGCUCACCAAGGCGACGAUCUCUAGCUGGUCUGAGAGGAUGAUCAGCCACACUGGGACUGAGACACGGCCCAGACUCCUACGGGAGGCAGCAGUGGGGAAUAUUGGACAAUGGGCGCAAGCCUGAUCCAGCCAUGCCGCGUGUGUGAAGAAGGCCUUAGGGUUGUAAAGCACUUUCAGGAGUGAGGAAGGGCGAUUGGUUAAUACCCAAUUAUUUUGACGUUAACUCCAGAAGAAGCACCGGCUAACUCUGUGCCAGCAGCCGCGGUAAUACAGAGGGUGCGAGCGUUAAUCGGAAUUACUGGGCGUAAAGCGCGCGUANGCGGUUUGUUAAGUCGGAUGUGAAAUCCCA
rnacentral:rRNA from 1 species